rnacentral:misc_RNA from 1 species
AAGUCGUAACAAGGUUUCCGUAGGUGAACCUGCGGAAGGAUCAUUAUCGAGGGGGGGCUUUGCCCCCCAAAGGAUGUAGGCCAGCUUGAAGUGUAGUCGUUUGGCCGUCUUUUCUGGAGCAAACGUUACUUGGAUGGCUGGUUGCUACCAUUCCGCACCCCCUGUCUAUGAGUACUCUUGUUUCCUCGGCAGGCUUGCUUGCCAAUGAGGACCCAUUAACCCUUUUUUUGUGUUGUCGUAACCGUAACAAACAAUAAUCAAAACUUUCAACAACGGAUCUCUUGGUUCUG